GUUAUAGGAUCAAGCGAAUAAGUGCAUGUGGUGGAUGCCUUGGCGAUUACAGGCGAUGAAGGACGUACAAGCCUGCGAUAAGCUCUGGGGAGCUGGCAAUGAAGCUUUGAUCCAGAGAUUUCCGAAUGGGGAAACCCACUCCGCGAGGAGUAUCCCGCGCUGAAUAUAUAGGCGUGGAGAAGCGAACCCGGCGAACUGAAACAUCUAAGUAGCCGGAGGAAAAGAAAUCAACCGAGAUUCCCAAAGUAGUGGCGAGCGAACUGGGAACAGCCUGCAAGUGAUAGCGAUUGCGUUAGCGGAAGUCUCUGGAAAGUGACGCCGUAGUGGGUGAAAGCCCCGUACGCGAAAACCUGAUCGUGGUACUAAGCUUGCGACAAGUAGGGCGGGGCACGAGAAAUCCUGUCUGAACAUGGGGGGACCAUCCUCCAAGGCUAAAUACUCGUAAUCGACCGAUAGUGUACCAGUACCGUGAGGGAAAGGCGAAAAGAACCCCGGGAGGGGAGUGAAAUAGAUCCUGAAACCGCAUGCAUACAAACAGUGGGAGCCUCUUCGUGGGGUGACUGCGUACCUUUUGUAUAAUGGGUCAGCGACUUACGUUCAGUAGCGAGCUUAACCGAAUAGGGGAGGCGUAGGGAAACCGAGUCUGAUAAGGGCGAUUAGUUGCUGGGCGUAGACCCGAAACCAAGUGAUCUAUCCAUGGCCAGGAUGAAGGUGCGGUAACACGCACUGGAGGUCCGAACCCACUAAUGUUGAAAAAUUAGGGGAUGAGCUGUGGAUAGGGGUGAAAGGCUAAACAAACUUGGAAAUAGCUGGUUCUCUCCGAAAACUAUUUAGGUAGUGCCUCAAGUAUCACCGACGGGGGUAAAGCACUGUUAUGGCUAGGGGGUCAUCGCGACUUACCAAACCAUUGCAAACUCAGAAUACCGUUGAGUGCGAGCUUGGGAGACAGACAUCGGGUGCUAACGUCCGGUGUCAAGAGGGAAACAACCCAGACCGCCGAUUAAGGUCCCAAAGCCAUAGUUAAGUGGGAAACGAGGUGGGAAGGCUUAGACAGCCAGGAGGUUGGCUUAGAAGCAGCCAUCCUUUAAAGAAAGCGUAAUAGCUCACUGGUCGAGUCGUCCUGCGCGGAAGAUGUAACGGGGCUCAAACUAUGCACCGAAAUCGCGGAUAUGUACGUUCCACUUUAGUUCAUUCGAAGUGCAAGCUGCCAGCGCGAAGCGCCGGCAAAGCAUCCCCAAAGUCGAGUUUGAUGAUGGGAGAGUGAAUUAAAGGGAACGUACAUAUGGUAGGAGAGCGUUCUGUAAGCCGUUGAAGGUGUCUUGAGAAGGAUGCUGGAGGUAUCAGAAGUGCGAAUGCUGACAUGAGUAGCGAUAAAGGGAGUGAAAAGCUCCCUCGCCGAAAGCCCAAGGUUUCCUGCGCAACGUUCAUCGGCGCAGGGUGAGUCGGCCCCUAAGGCGAGGCUGAAAAGCGUAGUCGAUGGGAAACAGGUCAAUAUUCCUGUACCUCUUUGUAAUGCGAUGGGGGGACGGAGAAGGUUAGGUCAUCCGGGUGUUGGACGUCCCGGUUCAAGCGUGUAGGAAGGUCUUCCAGGCAAAUCCGGGAGAUCAAUUCUGAGGCGUGAUAACGAGUGGUCUUUGACCGCGAAGUGAUUGAUACCAUGCUUCCAAGAAAAGCCUCUAAGCUUCAGUUACAAGGAGACCGUACCGCAAACCGACACAGGUGGGCAGGAUGAGAAUUCUAAGGCGCUUGAGAGAACUCAGGAGAAGGAACUCGGCAAAUUUGCACCGUAACUUCGGGAUAAGGUGCGCCCCGAUAGGUUGAAGCCCCUCGCGGGUGGAGGCUGAAGGGGUUGCAGUGAAAUGGUGGCUGCGACUGUUUAAUAAAAACAUAGCACUCUGCAAACACGAAAGUGGACGUAUAGGGUGUGACGCCUGCCCGGUGCCGGAAGGUUAAGUGAUGGGGUGCAAGCUCUUGAUCGAAGCCCCGGUAAACGGCGGCCGUAACUAUAACGGUCCUAAGGUAGCGAAAUUCCUUGUCGGGUAAGUUCCGACCUGCACGAAUGGCGUAACGAUGGCCACACUGUCUCCUCCUGAGACUCAGCGAAGUUGAAGUGAUUGUGAAGAUGCAAUCUCCCCGCGGUUAGACGGAAAGACCCCAUGAACCUUUACUGUAGCUUUGCAUUGGACUUUGAACCGAUUUGUGUAGGAUAGGUGGGAGGCUGUGAAACUGGGACGCUAGUUCUGGUGGAGCCAACCUUGAAAUACCACCCUGGUUUGUUUGAGGUUCUAACCAUGGCCCGUGAAUCCGGGUCUGGGACCGUGCAUGGUAGGCAGUUUGACUGGGGCGGUCUCCUCCUAAAGUGUAACGGAGGAGUACGAAGGUACGCUAGGUACGGUCGGACAUCGUGCUGAUAGUGCAAUGGCAUAAGCGUGCUUGACUGCGAGACUCACACGUCGAGCAGGUACGAAAGUAGGUCAUAGUGAUCCGGUGGUUCUGUAUGGAAGGGCCAUCGCUCAACGGAUAAAAGGUACUCUGGGGAUAACAGGCUAAUACCGCCCAAGAGUUCAUAUCGACGGCGGUGUUUGGCACCUCGAUGUCGGCUCAUCACAUCCUGGGGCUGUAGUCGGUCCCAAGGGUAUGGCUGUUCGCCAUUUAAAGUGGUACGUGAGCUGGGUUUAAAACGUCGUGAGACAGUUUGGUCCCUAUCUGCCGUGGGCGCUGGAAAUUUGAAGGGGGCUGCUCCUAGUACGAGAGGACCGGAGUGGACGAACCUCUGGUGUACCGGUUAUGACGCCAGUCGUAUUGCCGGGUAGCUAAGUUCGGAAGAGAUAAACGCUGAAAGCAUCUAAGCGUGAAACUCGCCUUGAGAUAAGAUUUCCCUGGGGACUUGAUCCCCCUGAAGGGUCGUGGUAGACCACCACGUUGAUAGGCUGGGUGUGGAAGCGCAGCAAUGCGUUAAGCUAACCAGUACUAAUUGCCCGUGAGGCUUGAUCCUAUAACCUUAAGCAG
rnacentral:rRNA from 1 species